GAUGAACGCUGGCGGCGUGCCUAAUACAUGCAAGUCGAGCGAACGGACGAGAAGCUUGCUUCUCUGAUGUUAGCGGCGGACGGGUGAGUAACACGUGGAUAACCUACCUAUAAGACUGGGGUAACUUCGGGAAACCGGAGCUAAUACCGGAUAAUAUUUUGAACCGCAUGGUUCAAAAGUGAAAGACGGUCUUGCUGUCACUUAUAGAUGGAUCCGCGCUGCAUUAGCUAGUUGGUAAGGUAACGGCUUACCAAGGCAACGAUGCAUAGCCGACCUGAGAGGGUGACCGGCCACACUGGAACUGAGACACGGUCCAGACUCCUACGGGAGGCAGCAGUAGGGAAUCUUCCGCAAUGGGCGAAAGCCUGACGGAGCAACGCCGCGUGAGUGAUGAAGGUCUUCGGAUCGUAAAACUCUGUUAUUAGAGAAGAACAUAUGUGUAAGUAACUGUGCACAUCUUGACGGUACCUAAUCAGAAAGCCACGGCUAACUACGUG
rnacentral:rRNA from 1 species